UAACAUACAUUUACAUAUAUAUUUAUAAUUGUUAUCAAAUAUGUACUGUCAACACUAUGUGAAUAUCAAGUAGUAAUUGCACAUUUAAGUAUUAUUUUUGCAACGCUAUUCGACUACAAAUGAAUUGAGAAUACGUUUGCGGCCCGUGAUUGACUUUGUACCUAAAACAAACAAAAAAAGCGAUAAACGCUAUAAAAAUAUUUAUAUUUCAAUCACUUGUCUGAUUGAAGUGUAAAACAUGUCUUUAUUAAUGAAAAUAUAGUAUGUAUAAAUGUAUCGGAUUGUUAGACGAAAAGGCAUGGACGAGGACAACGGCUGAUAAGUCGACGUUAUGAUUUUUUGAGAGCAAAGUACUGCGGAAGAGUUAUGGUCCUUUGGCUACGGCGAGUAUCGCAGUCGAUAGAAGGAUGGGCUGUACAAGAUAUUUGAUGAGAUGUCUGCAUGAAAUAUGACAUGGAUUAUCUGGCAAGGGUUAUUUUCAAACAUAUGUUUUAGUUCAGACCACUUUUGCUUAUAGCUGUCACGUAAACUGACUGAUCCAAAUCACGAUAAAGGCCUUUUAGUACCCUAUAUAUUAUAUAUAAACUAUAUUUUCAGAGUAUCACCUGUCAAUAGUAUUACAGUUGCUGCGAUGCAGACGAAGUUAACGUGUUUUCUUGUUCAUUAGUCAAUUGAAGUAUCACUUGAAAAACCAUUUCAUACCACUUUCUAGCUCAGACUUCAAUUAGUUAUCAACAUUGCUGCACUAAGUAAGCGUAGCACGCUCGUUACUUGUCAUUAUUAAUAAAGCCACAGAAGUAAAAUUAGAAACGCAACAUUAAUCAUGAUUUGGAGCAAUUUUAUCUUACCACUGUACGAGUACUACUAUACUGAUUAAAAUUCUUCACUGCAAUACGCCAUAACGAAGAACGGAAAGCAGCGCUCAAGCUGUAUUCUCUUAGCAAGCCAUUUGCUUUAGUUAGUAAUAAAAACGUGUUGGAAAAGUGAAUGCGCUUAAUGCUGCGAAAUAAACAAACAGUUUGCUCUGCUUGUUAAGGCAAGGUGCAACCUUUAACGCCUGCUGCGGCUGAGACAAGCACAUCCGACGGACAGGUAACACUUGCAGCAUAAUACAAACACGCAGAAAGCAGCGCAAGCCACCAAGGUAAUGCAAUAGCUUCAAGUUCGUCCUUACCGUUUGCUGCUGAAAUUUCUUUUAGUUCUUCAUUAUAUCCUUCUAAGCUAAGCAAAUACAAUUGUUUUCAGUCUUACUUACACCCUCAAUCCCCACCGUGGCCGAGAAAGUUGCAACCAGCUAUUUCAGUAUGCGUGGCAUCUUAAUUUUGCCACCGGAAGUGCAACCCGAAAAUGUACUUGUAUCUAAAAACUUCUGCAGCGAUGCGGCGACGUCUGUGUGAGUGCACCUGGGUUCGGGCCACCGCCGUUGCUGAGUGGCUAUUGCGUUAGGUGCAACCAUUAUAGCAGGCAACAAGAUUGAUUAUGCCCCAAAGUUGCUUUCAACAUAUCAGCCCUUCAGCCGAAGAAAACGUAUCUGCAACUAAAAAAGUAGUAGUAAAAAGUAGCAGAAACGCAAUAUAUGCGCUAAAGAGCGGGACAGAAGUACGCAAAGGAAAGUGGAAUACAUGCAGGUACAAGAAAUAUUUUCACACAAUAGACACAUGCUUGCAUGAAGAAAAAAUUCAGAGAAAACGGAAAUUAAAAAUCGCGUUGGAUGUGAAGUAGCUUUUUUGCUUCUUUGUUGUAGAAUUAAGGAUAAGUAAAAAAGUAAGUAAGUGAAAAUAAAUGUAAAAUGUAUAUCUUUAAAUAAAAUAUAAAAAAUAGCUGUA